GGGCAUUCACCGUUUGGGUGAAGACGGAGGCGGGUUCUGGACAGACGUAGGCUGUCAGGGAGUGUUUACUUCGCCUCCACUUCUGUUCCUCCCUGCCCUGGUGCUGCUCCAGGUCACAUACUCGUCCUGAGCCGGCUUCAGCCUGUCCGCGCAGAAGUCUCCCGGAGCCAUGGCCUAGUACUCUUAUGUGAAGUCUAGCAAGCUCGUGCUCAAGGGAACCGAGUAAGAAGAAAAAGAGCAAAGAUAAGAAGAGAAAAAGAGAAGAUGAAGAAACCCAGCUUGAUACGUUGGAAUCUGGUGAACAGUAACAAACUUUGGUGAAAUUUCAGGAACCAUAGCCAUUGAAAUGGAUGAGGGAACCUAUAUACAUGCACUCGACAAUGGUCUUUUUACCCUGGGAGCUCCACACAAAGAAGAAUCGCCCUGAAAUCUGGCUAUGGAAAAUAUCUUGGUAUAAAUUCAGAUGAACUUGUUGGGCAUUCAGAUGCAAUUGGACCAAGAGAACAAUGGGAACCAGUCUUUCAAAAUGGGAAAAUGGCUUUGUUGGCCUCAAAUAGCUGCUUUAUUAGAUGCAAUGAAGCAGGGGACAUAGAAGCAAAAAGUAAAACAGCAGGAGAAGAAGAAAUGAUCAAGAUUAGAUCCUGUGCUGAAAAAGAAACCAAGAAAAAAGAUGACAUUCCAGAAGAAGACAAAGGAAAUGUAAAACAAUGUGAAAUCAAUUAUGUAAAGAAAUUUCAGAGCUUCCAAGACCACAAACUUAAAAUAAGUAAAGAAGAGAGUAAAAUUCUUAAAAAGGCUCAGAAAGAUGGAUUUUUGCAUGAGACGCUUCUGGACAGAGAACCAAAUUGAAAGCCGACAGAUACUGCAAAUGACUGGAAUUUUUGUUUCUGCCUUAUCUUUUUGUGUUUUUUUUUUCUGAAUAAAAUAUUCAGAGGAAAUGCUUUUA
rnacentral:lncRNA from 1 species